AGGACUUCGAUCUAUCUUUUGAACCAAUGGACCAAUUUGGAUGAUUUUGACAUAUGUUUGCAUUUGUAGUAUGUUGAUUCUGAAAAUGUAAGUUUUGUGUGAAUGUGAUGUAUACUUUUAAAGUUAUGAAUAAUGUGGAAAAACUUUAUUUCUCUGUCUGUGAUAAUUACAUUAAUCCAUUGUGUAAGGUCAUUGUAUAACAGGCAGAAGGGAGGAUUUUGUGUGGGAGUGUCUGAGUGUAU